AUCUAGCCCCGAUAGAGCCGAUAUCCUCGUAUCCCGAUGACUAUCGGGAGGAGAGAUAAAGGCGAAAGCGGGACUAAAG
rnacentral:misc_RNA from 1 species